UAUGCUUUUGCACUGUCUCCACUGCUGAAGACAAAUUGUAAAAAUCAUUCUCGUGUUGCAGGAUUUUCACAAGUACCUCCAAAUGUCAUUUUCUGAAGAAAUGAAACCAUGUGACUUUGCCAGAUUUUUGAAGGAAUUACCAGCAUGCCAAUUCCCAGUCCAAACACACUUAGCCAAUUAUACCUCCAAGAAGUCACCAGAAGAAACCUCCUGAAAGUCCCAAGCAGCUUUAUGUUAGUGGAAAUGCAUUCAAGAGCAAGGAAAAGCAGUUGGAUUAUACCAGCAAAUACCUCAGGAAGGCAGAACUAAUUGCUUCAAUUAUUACUGGAGAGCCAGCAGUUCUCAGACUCUUGCUACACAAUACUAUACAUGUGACAUUCUGAUGUUGCUUCAGGAACUGAAUCUCAAUCCCAAGGGUGUUGCUCAAAGGACCACUGGAAAGGUCAGAAAGUGAACCUCUGAGACACGACAGAACUCUGUAGAGAAGUUUUUGGUAUUCAGCACAUGGAGUGGACAGCAUU